rnacentral:lncRNA from 1 species
UGUGAACAGGUUAUGACAAUUUGAAUCAGUUGAUAUUAGUUACUUAUAAGUCUUAUAAGUCUCAUCAAGGUUUUUAAACAUUCCGUCCAAAGAAGACUAAUGCAGACUUGAAAAAAUAGACAGUGUGUCUCCACUUCUAAGGCAUGAAAUCAGAGCUACAUUCCAAAAAUAUGUGAAUUACCAAAAAAAGACCACAAACUUUGUCUAUUUAAAAGUGUGUAUUUAAUGUUUUUAGGACUGUUACGUUACAGUCUUUUGUUUCAUUGUAAGCUCUAUUGAACAGUAUUUCGAAGGUAAUUCACUGAGCUUAUACGGAUCAGUCUGACCCUAGAUGAACAAUGCUUCUUAUUGGUUUUAGAUUAAUAAUCCAUACACAGCACUAGUUUUCUUACUUAAUUUUUCACAACUCUUUCUCAGGAGUUGAAGAGUUACUGAGAGUUCAGUUCAUCUGUCUUCUCUCAAAUAAAGAGAGACUCCCUGCAAAUAUGUCUAAUCUUCCUUAGCUCUUUCAUAACCAUCACUUUUCCCUCUCUCUGUGGGACAUGAUACGUUCGCUCCGUCAGCUUGAGGCUUAUCGCUGUGUUUAAAGGGGUUCUGUGUUCUGUCACAGAGGCAGGAGGCCAUAAACACAUAUGAGCAUCUCCCUCACUGUCAAGGCUUUCUGAGUUGUAAUUGGCUGAGAGCUGCACUGUCAGCUGAUUGGCCGGGCUGAGGAUGAAUGGCCACGCUGACAACCAAUGGGGCCAGAUGAGGGUGAGCCGGGUGAGAUAUGGGACGCCGCAUUCUUGAGCAUAAUCAAAUCUUUGGAGCUUUCACUGAUGGUGAGUGAAUCAGUUUGUAUCAAGAGUUCAUAUGCAAGAGGAACCAAGACACACCUCAAAAGAUUCAAACAAGUUUUUGCAGCAAGCUAAUAAAGUU